GCCCGGGUGGCGGAAUGGCAGACGCGCUGGACUUAAAAUCCAGUGUCCAUCGUGACGUGUGGGUUCAAGUCCCACCCCGGGCA
rnacentral:tRNA from 1 species